rnacentral:rRNA from 1 species
AUCCACGGCCAUAGGACUUUGAAAAUACUGCAUCCCGUCCGAUCUGCAAAGUCAAACAGAGUACCGCUCAGUUAGUACCAUGGUGGGGGACCACAUGGGAAUCCUGAGUGUUGUGGUUUUUU